rnacentral:rRNA from 1 species
AGCGAACGCUGGCGGCAGGCCUAACACAUGCAAGUCGAACGAGACCUUCGGGUCUAGUGGCGGACGGGUGAGUAACACGUGGGAACGUGCCUUUAGGUUCGGAAUAACUCAGGGAAACUUGUGCUAAUACCGAAUGUGCCCUUCGGGGGAAAGAUUUAUCGCCUUUAGAGCGGCCCGCGUCUGAUUAGCUAGUUGGUGAGGUAAUGGCUCACCAAGGCUACGAUCAGUAGCUGGUCUGAGAGGAUGGCCAGCCACAUUGGGACUGAGACACGGCCCAAACUCCUACGGGAGGCAGCAGUGGGGAAUCUUGCGCAAUGGGCGAAAGCCUGACGCAGCCAUGCCGCGUGAAUGAUGAAGGUCUUAGGAUUGUAAAAUUCUUUCACCGGGGACGAUAAUGACGGUACCCGGAGAAGAAGCCCCGGCUAACUUCGUGCCAGCAGCCGCCGUAACAC